UAUCUUCAGGGCGGGGCGAAAUUCCCCACCGGCGGUAAAGUCCGCGAGCGCUCAGGCGCAGAUCCGGUGCAACUCCGGAACCGACAGUAUAGUCUGGAUGGAAGAAGAU
rnacentral:ncRNA from 1 species